UACGUAGGGGGCAAGCGUUAUCCGGAUUUACUGGGUGUAAAGGGAGCGUAGACGGCACGGCAAGCCAGAUGUGAAAGCCCGGGGCUCAACCCCGGGACUGCAUUUGGAACUGCUGAGCUAGAGUAUCGGAGAGGCAAGUGGAAUUCCUAGUGUAGCGGUGAAAUGCGUAGAUAUUAGGAGGAACACCAGUGGCGAAGGCGGCUUGCUGGACGAUGACUGACGUUGAGGCUCGAAAGCGUGGGGAGCAAACAGG
rnacentral:rRNA from 1 species